GCUAAGACUGGAUAUGAAGUUUUGAGGCAUCUCGAAACUUUUAAAAGACCCGCAAGGGUAUGCUGAGAGAUGGGCUUGCGGCACAUUAGUUAGUUGGUAAGGUAAUGGCUUACCAAGACUAUGAUGUGUAGCUGGACUGAGAGGUUGAACGGCCACAUUGGGACUGAGAUACGGCCCAAACUCCUACGGGAGGCAGCAGUAAGGAAUUUACGGCAAUGGAGGAAACUCUGACCGAGCAACGCCGCGUGAACGAUGAAGUAUUAAGGUACGUAAAGUUCUUUUAUUAA
rnacentral:rRNA from 1 species